UUCCAUGGAUGAGCAAAGAAAGGAGUUUCUUGAGCUGGAAUCUACUCCUGGUGAGGGUGCUGGGAA
rnacentral:pre_miRNA from 1 species